CUCAUCACAGACUUGUCAGGAGUGGAAAGCAUCAGCUCAGUUUGCCCCUUAGAGAUUCUUGUUUAUUGAAAGAUGACCUGUUCUUCACUGAUCCUGGGAACAAUUAUGCACAUUCUAAAGUCAAUAUGCUAUUAGUAAUGAAGAACUGUAAGAGAGGCCUUUGUGAAACUUGGAGAAAUCAGAGACAACAAUUGUGUGAGUCACCAGCAUAGCCUGCCUCUUUCUACAAUGUCUAGGCAAAUAGUACCUUAUUAAGAUUUCUUCCAUUUCUAAAUAAAUUAUCAUCAAGGCUAAAAUGAUGCACUGAGAAGUGUUUCUGGCCGUUUCUUCAUUAAAAGAAUUCUCCAGGCUAAGUCCUUUGUGCUUCAUCAGGAAUUCACCAAAUUCAGUCAGUCUCUGGAAACACAGGGAUCUCCUUGCAUGGAACUCAUUGCAUGCAGCCUGAGCAGGACCUUUGGAAGAAAAAUGGUUCUGUCUCUCCUCAUAACUUCAGCAGGAAAAGACCUGAAGGCUUGGCUUCAGGAUCCUGAGAUAUAUGGCAGCCAAGAGACCAGCUUGCAGCUUUCUGGUUUUGUGAGAGUAUUUGGAAGCUUGGAUCCUGCCAGAAGGGAGAUUUAUCACAGGGAAUUCUAUGAUGCUCUGCAGCACAAACACUUUUAGUGGAAGAUCUUAUGUGUCAGGAAUGCAAAUUAAAAUACCUAUUCUCUACAACAGCUCUCAGGUAACAAAAAAUAGUGUUAUAAAGAAAAAAUAUGUGGCAAAUAACAAGAGCAAGAAAAGUUUCCCAGAAACUUUUGUAAAGAAGAAAUAAACAACGCUGUUCCCCACUCACUGAAGAAUAUAAUGGUGAUUGGAAAGAUUGAGAAACAAUAAGGAAUGAAAAGGAAGAGAAAAGAAGCAAUGUAGAGGAGUUACAAACUUAGUUUUCCAGUUUGAAAGGCGCUGAAGUGGCCUUUUUGGCUUAUUUGCGAAGCAUGUAGCAAAUACAACAGAACAGUGUGGAAGUUCAGCUGUGACUCACUGUGUAUGUGGAUUGCACAAGGACUUGAUCUUCUUGAAACAGCAAGGUAAAAAGCAACACUUCUAUAAAAACAGGUAGCUUUGCAUCUGUAUAGUUUUACUUAAGUAUCUAUUCAAGUCUUCCAUAAAUUUGUGCAAACAGAAAAGACACUGUGAAUAACACCAGACAUCAGAAUUGAGUGUCAAUUCUUGAAAUGAAGAAAAUUCUUAA